rnacentral:rRNA from 1 species
CCCAGGCUCUGAGCGGCGAGGAAGGACGCGGACAGCAGCGAAAUGGAACGGGGAGACGCACACAGUCUGUGAUCCGUUCGUCUCCGAAUGGGGCAACCCGGUGCGGUGCAGCCGCAUCAUCAUUCGUACGAAUGAGGCAAACGUGGGGAACUGAAACAUCUCAGUACCCGCAGGAAGAGAAAACAAGUCAGUGAUACCCUCAGUAGUGGCGAGCGAACGGGGUAGAGCCUAAACCGAAUGGGUUACGGCCCAGUCGGGGUUGCAGGAACCGGCAUCAAGCCUUUUUGCCAAAGUCGAAUGGUCUGGGAAGGCCAACCACAGGGGGUGAGAGUCCCGUAGACGUAGGUGCGAAAAGGUGGGCUGGUCACCUAAGUAGGGGGGGGCCGGAGGAACCCCCUCUGAAUCCGGCAGCACCAUCUGCCAAGGCUAAAUACGACUCAGAGACCGAUAGCGCAUAGUACCGUGAGGGAAGGGUGAAAAGCACCGC